GCAGCUGUGGCGCACUGGACAGGGAGAUUGACUGGUGAUCUGAAGGUCGCUGGUUCGAUAUCCAGCCCUACUGGG